GAUGAAGAACGCAGUGAAAUGCGAUACUUGGUGCGAAUUGCAGAAUCCCGUGAACCAUUGAGUUUUUGAACGCAAGUUGCGCCCGAAGCCGUUAGGCCGAGGGCACGCCUGCCUGGGUGUCACACAUCGUUGCCCCAAUGCCAAUCGCCUCACUUUGUAGGUAUUUGCUUGGGGUGAAUGUUGGCCUCCCGUGAGCUUUGUCUCACGGUUGGUUGAAAAUCGAGUGCAUGGUGUCGGGUGUACCAUGAUGGAUGGUGGUUGAGUGAUGAUGCUCGAGACCAAUCAUGGGUAACUCCACCAGAAUUGGGCUCGGUGACCCACAUGCGUCCCUUGGAUGCUCCCUAAGGAGACCUCAGGUCAGGCGGGGCUACCCGCUGAGUUUAAGCAUAUCAAUAAGCGGAGGA
rnacentral:misc_RNA from 1 species